GGCCACUGAUUGAUGAUUGAUGCAGACAUUGGCAUCUAUAAAUAAAGACAAACGAGCAGAAAAACUCAAUCUCCCAUCUUCUUUCUUCACAGAAACUCCUCUCUCCUACCGUGAUGGCAUCGCCCCCACACUCCCCUUUUCAUCCCCCUUUGCCAUGGGUGAAGGCCAGGGUAAAGGAGAGAUGGGCCUUUAUAAAAGAAGCCUAGAGAAGGGUGAGAGCCAGGAGCACAGGUCUAUCUUCCUCUCGUUGGGCACUUUUCACCUUACGGUCCCCAUCAAGGCCCGGGGGUCAUCACAUCCCCCAGUUCAAGCAAAUUCCUAUGGAGGUCCGGGCCCACUAUAUUCAGGAGUAUCGGGAUUCUAUGAAAUUUAGGAGGAAGAUCGUUGACAUUGCUACCGAUGGAUUCAUCGAUAGUUUCAAGAAUUAUAAGACCCGCUUACUGCAGAUAAUACCGUAUUUGGAGCUCCACUCCUUUCAGCCCGAAAACAAUGACGAGGAGGCUUCCUCGUCAGAUGAGGACUGAGCCUCCUCAUCCUUGAGCUGG
rnacentral:lncRNA from 1 species